GGGGGGGGACCCUUUCCUCCUCUUUCUGCAUGGCGGCGACGGUGUUCUAUGCAGUCACGUUAUCUUGACUCUCUAGCGGCGUCAGCGGCAUCCAGCGGUAUCAGUCGGUCGCUGCUAGCGCUGGGGGGAUGAAAGGGGGGCGGAGCUGGUUACGAGGCCGACGACAACGCCGACGACGACGCGAAACCCAGGAACGGACGCCAAAGAGCUGCGCUCUAAAACACGGUACAGAACGGCAAGAAGCUUAAGCUAGGCCUAGCAUUGCUGCGGUGGUUGCUACGGCUGCCAGCGGAUCUGCGUGCAAGUGUGCCGGUUCGUUGGCCGGUUCGAGGCGGCGAGGUUAUCAAAAUGGCGGAGGUUGUGGCUUUUAUUAAUGCCGUUUCGGACCUGCGGUCACGGCAAAAAGUCCGGAAAAUUUGACGGCGAAGGGUUCUUGCGUCCGAAAUUUCAGCGUUCUUAUACACCCUAUGGGGUACGUACUGGUGCCGCGAAGCCGUCCGAAUUAUCUAGCGUCCGGAAAAUCGCUCGUUAACUGUACUCUGACAACUCCUCCAGCCGAUGAGGCGGCGUCGGAGACCAUUCGUUACGAUUCCUCUUUGUUACGCCGGCCAGCAUUACCGUGACUUUGGGUUCCCUUGCAAUAAAUUUACAGCCAAUUUUCCCUGAUAGGAGCACAAAUUCCCUGAGGUUUCCCUGAAUUUUUCCAGACUACUCAAAAUCCCUGAGAAUUCCCGGUUUUCCCGGUUGGUAGACACCCUGCAACUACCAUUACAAACCCAGCAAUAAGGUAGGAUAUACAAGUCUUUGGCAGCGACAGCAGCACAAGCACCAUUACACUAGAGAAUAGAGGAACAAACUAACCUGCACAAUUGUAAUAGCAAGGUAAGCGAUGCUCACUGGAUGAUGCCGCCGCUGCCAAAUGACCGCCUCUCCAGGUACUCUUGAUUUAUCUGCAGUCGAUUCCUUAGUCAGGUGCGCAGACGCAGUCAGUGCUAGGUGAUUCCGUGUGCAGCUAGGCAGCAGUUCGACACAGCCCUCGGAAGUCCUGUGCAGCACGACGGUUCCAGCAAUAGGAAAAGCCAGCAGUCCGAUGGCUCCUUCACCGUGUAGCGUUUGACAAUCCGGGAUAGAGUGCAAGUCGCUGUAUCUGCACAAUUGUAAUAGCAAGCUAGGCACCAGUUCGACACAGCCCUCGGAGUGCUGUGCAGUACGACGGUUCCAGCGGUAAGAAAGGCCAGCAACCUGCAGCGGCCGAUGGCUCCUUCACCGGGCAGCGCUUGACGAUCCGGGAUAGAGUGCAAGUCGCUGUAUCUGCACAAUUGUAAUAGCAAGAUUGCUACCAUCCAAGCAAUGCCACACUGCUAUGACCAUAUUUGCCCCAAGACACUAAUAAG